GACGAAGGGGGCUAGCGUUGUUCGGAAUUACUGGGCGUAAAGCGUGCGCAGGCGGUUUUGUAAGUCUGACGUGAAAUCCCCGGGCUUAACCUGGGAAUUGCGUUGGAGACUGCAAGGCUGGAGUCUGGCAGAGGGGGGUAGAAUUCCACGUGUAGCAGUGAAAUGCGUAGAGAUGUGGAGGAACACCGAUGGCGAAGGCAGCCCCCUGGGUCAAGACUGACGCUCAUGCACGAAAGCGUGGGGAGCAAACAGG
rnacentral:rRNA from 1 species